rnacentral:snRNA from 1 species
AGCUUUGCGCAGUGGCAGUAUCAUAGCCAAUGAGGUCAAACCGAGGCGUGAUUAUUGCUAAUUGAAAACUUUUCCCAAUACCCCCGCCGUGAUGACUUGAAAAUAUAGUCAGGCACUGGCAAUUUUUGACAGUCUCUCAGGAGA